rnacentral:rRNA from 1 species
UAACAUUGUCAGUCGAACGGCUUCUUUCCUCCCGAGUGCUUGCACUCAAUUGGAAAGAGGAGUGGCGGACGGGUGAGUAACACGUGGGUAACCUACCCAUCAGAGGGGGAUAACACUUGGAAACAGGUGCUAAUACCGCAUAACAGUUUAUGCCGCAUGGCAUAAGAGUGAAAGGCGCUUUCGGGUGUCGCUGAUGGAUGGACCCGCGGUGCAUUAGCUAGUUGGUGAGGUAACGGCUCACCAAGGCCACGAUGCAUAGCCGACCUGAGAGGGUGAUCGGCCACACUGGGACUGAGACACGGCCCAGACUCCUACGGGAGGCAGCAGUAGGGAAUCUUCGGCAAUGGACGAAAGUCUGACCGAGCAACGCCGCGUGAGUGAAGAAGGUUUUCGGAUCGUAAAACUCUGUUGUUAGAGAAGAACAAGGACGUUAGUAACUGAACGUCCCCUGACGGUAUCUAACCAGAAAGCCACGGCUAACUACGUGCCAGCAGCCGCGGUAAUACGUAGGUGGCAAGCGUUGUCCGGAUUUAUUGGGCGUAAAGCGAGCGCAGGCGGUUUCUUAAGUCUGAUGUGAAAGCCCCCGGCUCAACCGGGGAGGGUCAUUGGAAACUGGGAGACUUGAGUGCAGAAGAGGAGAGUGGAAUUCCAUGUGUAGCGGUGAAAUGCGUAGAUAUAUGGAGGAACACCAGUGGCGAAGGCGGCUCUCUGGUCUGUAACUGACGCUGAGGCUCGAAAGCGUGGGGAGCAAACAGGAUUAGAUACCUGGUAGUCCACGCCGUAAACGAUGAGUGCUAAGUGUUGGAGGGUUUCCGCCCUUCAGUGCUGCAGCAAACGCAUUAAGCACUCCGCCUGGGGAGUACGACCGCAAGGUUGAAACUCAAAGGAAUUGACGGGGGCCCGCACAAGCGGUGGAGCAUGUGGUUUAAUUCGAAGCAACGCGAAGAACCUUACCAGGUCUUGACAUCCUUUGACCACUCUAGAGAUAGAGCUUUCCCUUCGGGGACAAAGUGACAGGUGGUGCAUGGUUGUCGUCAGCUCGUGUCGUGAGAUGUUGGGUUAAGUCCCGCAACGAGCGCAACCCUUAUUGUUAGUUGCCAUCAUUUAGUUGGGCACUCUAGCGAGACUGCCGGUGACAAACCGGAGGAAGGUGGGGAUGACGUCAAAUCAUCAUGCCCCUUAUGACCUGGGCUACACACGUGCUACAAUGGGAAGUACAACGAGUCGCUAGACCGCGAGGUCAUGCAAAUCUCUUAAAGCUUCUCUCAGUUCGGAUUGCAGGCUGCAACUCGCCUGCAUGAAGCCGGAAUCGCUAGUAAUCGCGGAUCAGCACGCCGCGGUGAAUACGUUCCCGGGCCUUGUACACACCGCCCGUCACACCACGAGAGUUUGUAACACCCGAAGUCCGGUGAGGUAACCCCU